rnacentral:rRNA from 1 species
AACGAACGCUAUCGGUAUGCUUAACACAUGCAAGUCGGACGGACUAAUUAGGGCUUGCUCCAAUUAGUUAGUGGCAGACGGUUGAGUAACACGUGGGAAUCUGCCCAUCAGUACGAAAUAACUUUUAGAAAAAAAAGCUAAUACCUUUUAUUCUCUACAGGGUAAAGAUUUAUCGCUGAUGGAUGAGCCCGCUUCAGAUAAGGUAGUUGGUGAGGUAACGGCUCACCAAGCGGACGAUCUGUAGCUGGUGUGAGAGGAUGAUCAGCCACACUGGGACUGAGACACGGCCCAGACUCCUACGGGAGGAAGCAGUGGGGAAUAUUGGACAAUGGGCGAAAGCCUGAUCCAGCAAUACCGAGUGAGUGAUAAAGGCCCUAGGGUUGUAAAGCUCUUUUAGAAAGGAAGAUAAUGACGUUACUUGCAGAAAAAGCCCCGGCUAACUCCGUG